rnacentral:precursor_RNA from 14 species
AGAAUUUUGUUCUAGGGGCGUCUUCACAAGUUUGGACUGAGCUCUCCAAAACAUUUUUGGAUUGAAUAGUAUUGGAGAUUCGUUCCAAACUUGUGUUGUCUUUUUUAACGCCUAUACUUUG